rnacentral:tRNA from 1 species
CUCGUUGGUCUAGGGGUAUGAUUCUCGCUUUGGGUGCGAGAGGUCCCGGGUUCAAAUCCCGGACGAGCCCUGAUGCACUUUUAGUUUUUACUCACAGCGUGAAGGCUUUGGACUUCAGCGAAAAGCUAGAUCUAGAUCCAAGGACAGAGUCGAAGGCAUAGCUCUUGUCCCCACAUCUGUUCUGCCGGAUAUGUCUGGUCCGACGCAGCCAUGGGGUCUAGGUGCAGCUGAAGGACAAAUGGCAUGCGCCCUGGACUGGAGCAGAGAACAAGGACAAAUCCCUCCCAGCCAUCUCUGUCUCCGCAGAUGUCUGGGUGUCGUGUACCAGGCCUCCCUGCUCUAGGCGCGUUGUUUUUCUUCGGUUAGGAGCGGAAGGCGGAGGAGCUGACUUCAGGGUAGUUCUUCAGAGACCAGCUAUCCAGUAAAAGGCGCUGGUGCGAGUGGUCCAGCCUUCACCAGUAUUCCCAAGUUCCAGG